rnacentral:rRNA from 1 species
UACGUAGGGGGCAAGCGUUGUCCGGAAUCAUUGGGCGUAAAGAGCGUGUAGGCGGCUCGAUAAGUCUGCUGUGAAAGUCCAGGGCUCAACCCUGGAAGGCCGGUGGAAACUGUCGGGCUAGAGUCCGGAAGAGGCGAGUGGAAUUCCCGGUGUAGCGGUGAAAUGCGCAGAUAUCGGGAAGAACACCCGUGGCGAAGGCGGUUCUCUGGGACGGUACUGACGCUGAGACGCGAAAGCGUGGGGAGCGAACAGG